AUUGAACGCUGGCGGCAUGCCUUACACAUGCAAGUCGAACGGUAACAGGUCUUCGGUUGCUGAUGAGUGGCGAACGGGAGAGUAAUACAUCGGAACGUGCCCGAUCGUGGGGGAUAACGAGGCGAAAGCUUUGCUAAUACCGCAUACGAUCUACGGAUGAAAGCGGUGGAUCUUCGGACCUCGCGCGGACGGAGCGGCCGAUGGCAGAUUAGGUAGUUGGUGGGAUAAAAGCUUACCAAGCCGACGAUCUGUAGCUGGUCUGAGAGGAUGAUCAGCCACACUGGGACUUAAACACGGCCCAUACUCCUACGGGAGGCAGCAGUGGGGAAUUUUGGACAGUGGGCGAAAGCAUGAUCCAGCCAUGCCGCGUGCAAGCUAGAGACCUUCGGGUUGUAAACUGCUUUUGUACGGAACGAAAAGCCUCUUUCUAAUAAGGAGGGGUCAUGACGGUACCGUAAGAAUAAGCACCGGCUAACUACGUG
rnacentral:rRNA from 1 species